GGGCGCUUGGUCUAGGGGUAUGAUUUUCGCUUCGCAUGAUUCAAUCGGCAUCUGUGAAAGGUCGUGGGUUCAAUUCCCACAGCGUCCA